CAGCCGUACCAUGCUGAAUAUACCGGUUCUCGUUAGAUCACCGAAGUCAAGCAUCAUUGGGCGCGGUCAGUACUUGGGUGGGUGACCACCUGGGAACACCGCGUGCCGUU
rnacentral:rRNA from 1 species